rnacentral:rRNA from 1 species
CGUUCCAUCUGGAAGAAUCUGGAGACAGGUGCUGCAUGGCUGUCGUCAGCUCGUGUCGUGAGAUGUUCGGGUUAAGUCCCGCAACGAGCGCAACCCUUGCCUUUAGUUGCCAGCAGUUCGGCUGGGCACUCUAAAGGGACUGCCGGUGUUAAACCGGAGGAAGGUGGGGAUGACGUCAAGUCCUCAUGGCCUUUAUGACCAGGGCUACACACGUACUACAAUGGCCGAUACAAAGGGCAGCGACACUGCGAGGUGAAGCCAAUCCCGUAAAAUCGGUCUCAGUCCGGAUUGGAGUCUGCAACUCGACUCCAUGAAGUUGGAAUCGCUAGUAAUCGCGCAUCAGCCAUGGCGCGGUGAAUACGUUCCCGGGCCUU